AGACUCCAUCUCAAAAAAAAAAAAAAAAAAAAGAAAAAAAGAAAAGAAAAAAGAAACUAAACAAAUACAUUAUUUACUAAAGGAGUAAAUAAGUGUGACAACCAGUGGUGUCCUUAUUCUGUAUCACCAUCUUCAAAGAAUGCUUGUGUGCCUUCAAAUUUAUGACAUUUUCCUCUCACCUCUUAGUGGUGAAGAAACUGAAAUAUUGACCCCAUCCCCCAAAAUUAAUAAGUUAAGUGUAAGUGGUACCUGUGGUCCAUUUGAAAGGGAAUAUCUGAAUGGAAUGGGAGGACAGGCACCUAUUCUCAGCAGGCAGAAAGGGUACUUGUCAACAGGUAAUAUGGGAAAGCUAAGAAAUAUUAAGACUUUAUUUUUCCCUAUAGUCUGCCUUUCUGUGUUCCCAAUUCUUUACACUGCUAUGUAAUUUUAUGGAAUAUGAUUCUCAAUUAGGAAACUUGAACAAAGACAAAAAAAUGGUAAGAGACUGUCUUCUAAAUAUAUCCUUAGUUCUUCAGGCAGCAAUUUAAUUUCACUUAAAAGAAAGAACAAAGGCAUGUCAAUGUUUUGGAAUGAGGCUAGCCGAGGACUUUCACUGGCACUCUUUUUAGAACUAGACCAUUGGGGAAGUUGCAAUGUUACAUAAUGCUAUGCUUCUCAUUGCCAUAGAGAAGCAGCAGCUGCUUUGAGACUUUAGAAAAUCAGCAGUGACUUGAACUCGGUGUUGCUUGUGUCCAGAAAAUUCCAGGCACUUUGUCAAUUUUUUUUCUUCAUUUUCAAAUUAUCCUUUUGAGGAAAAUACAAAGGAGUAAUCCCAUUAUCUCUAUUUUAGAGAUAAUUAAGCUGAAUUUCAAGAGGUUUGUUGUCUUGCUUCAAGUUGUCCAUUAGCAGAAUGGAGAAAAAAAUCUUGCUUUCUGUCUUUCCCAGACUGAUUCUCUAUUGUAGCUUCUCUUUGGCUGUUGAUACAAUAUCAAAUAUUUUGUAUGUACAUGAAAAAUUUGAAAUUUCAUCUAUUUCACUAGUUUACCGAAUCCCUGCCUUUCACUGCUGACCAAGGUUAGAACUAAUAUAAAACAAUUUCCUUUAGAAUUCUUAGUGAAUAUUUUUUGCCACUCAGGCUAAAACACCACUGAUAAUUUUUACUCUGUCUUGUAUAUGUAUAAAUAACAGAAUAGAAAGGAAUAUGGGAGGUACAUGAUAUGGAAUGAGACACAUCUUGACUAAAAUAUUUUAGUUUAGAGCAAAUUUGCUCUGAUCAUGGUUAUUCAAAGGAUCUGUUUAUUUGUAUGUGGCAUGAUGGUGUGUGUAACCUCAUAAACAAAUGCAGAGCCUGGGAAUAAGAAAGAUGACUUAUGGUCUCACCUCCAAGGUUUUGACUCUGACAAAGUCCUAGAACCUCCCCCUUUCAUAGUUUCUCUCUCUCUCAUAUAUAUAUAUAUAUAUAUAUAUAUAUAUAUAUAUAUAUAUAUAGGU